rnacentral:rRNA from 1 species
UAGGGAAUCUUCCGCAAUGGACGAAAGUCUGACGGAGCAACGCCGCGUGAGCGAAGAAGGUCUUAGGAUCGUAAAGCUCUGUUGUCAGGGAAGAACAAGUGCCGUUCGAACAGGGCGGUACCUUGACGGUACCUGACGAGGAAGCCACGGCUAACUACGUGCCAGCAGCCGCGGUAAUACGUAGGUGGCAAGCGUUGUCCGGAAUUAUUGGGCGUAAAGCGCGCGCAGGCGGUUCCUUAAGUCUGAUGUGAAAUCUCGCGGCUCAACCGCGGGCGGCCAUUGGAAACUGGGGAACUUGAGUGCAGGAGAGGGGAGCGGAAUUCCACGUGUAGCGGUGAAAUGCGUAGAGAUGUGGAGGAACACCAGUGGCGAAGGCAGCUCUCUGGCCUGUAACUGACGCUGAGGCGCGAAAGCGUGGGGAGCGAACAGG